UACGUAGGGUGCAAGCGUUAAUCGGAAUUACUGGGCGUAAAGCGUGCGCAGGCGGCUUUGCAAGACAGAUGUGAAAUCCCCGGGCUUAACCUGGGAACUGCAUUUGUGACUGCAUGGCUGGAGUGCGGCAGAGGGGGAUGGAAUUCCGCGUGUAGCAGUGAAAUGCGUAGAUAUGCGGAGGAACACCGAUGGCGAAGGCAGUCCCCUGGGCCUGCACUGACGCUCAUGCACGAAAGCGUGGGGAGCGAACAGG
rnacentral:rRNA from 1 species